GACGAACACUGGCGGCGUGCUUAACACAUGCAAGUCGAACGGAAAGGCCCUGCUUUUGUGGGGUGCUCGAGUGGCGAACGGGUGAGUAACACGUGAGUAACCUGCCCUUGACUUUGGGAUAACUUCAGGAAACUGGGGCUAAUACCGGAUAGGAGCUCCUGCUGCAUGGUCGGGGUUGGAAAGUUUCGGCGGUUGGGGAUGGACUCGCGGCUUAUCAGCUUGUUGGUGGGGUAGUGGCUUACCAAGGCUUUGACGGGUAGCCGGCCUGAGAGGGUGACCGGCCACAUUGGGACUGAGAUACGGCCCAGACUCCUACGGGAGGCAGCAGUGGGGAAUAUUGCACAAUGGGCGGAAGCCUGAUGCAGCAACGCCGCGUGCGGGAUGACGGCCUUCGGGUUGUAAACCGCUUUCGCCUGUGACGAAGCGUGAGUGACGGUAAUGGGUAAAGAAGCACCGGCUAACUACGUG
rnacentral:rRNA from 1 species